GGGACAUGAAAAACUAAACAAGAAAACGUCACUGUCACUGUCUCAGAGUCAUGUUGUCAUACCUAGCUAUAAAUAAGAGAUUACAAAAUUAAUGUUGGUACGAGCUGGCUCUCUUCUUUUCUAAUUAUGUUAAUUCUGAAAUGGGUUUCAUGAAAGUAGUCUUCAUCUUACUUGCUUCGGUUCUGCAACAAGUUAUCAGCACCACAACCACUAUUGGGAAUGAUAAUAGUGAAUUUCUUGUCCUUGACUAUUACAAAGAAACCUGUCCUCUUGCACAAGAGAUUGUUGCACUUAACGUUGAGCUCGCAGUGCUCGAAAAUCCUCGGAUGGCUGCCUCAUUGCUUCGCUUGCAGUUUCAUGAUUGUUUUGUUAUGGGUUGCGAUGCAUCAGUUCUCCUGGAUAGCGAUGGAGGGAUGCUAAGUGAAAAGGAAGCGGGGCCUAACUUGAACUCCUUGCAUGGAUUUGAAGUGAUUGAUAAGAUAAAGUAUCGUUUAGAAGAAGCUUGCCCACUUACUGUCUCUUGUGCUGAUAUUCUAGCCAUGGCCGCUCGUGAUGCUGUUGCCUCAAGGGGAGGUCCAAGAUGGGAAGUGUCGUUAGGCAGGAAGGACUCCUUGAGAGCUAGCUUUGAUGGGGCCAAUCAGUUUUUACCUUCUCCUAAUUCCUCUCUGAAGUCUCUCAUUGCCAAUUUUAAGGAGCAGGGGCUGGCCAUACCAGACUUGGUUGCUUUGUCAGGUAGCCACACAGUAGGAAAGGCAAGAUGCUUAAGCUUCAGGCAAAGAGCACAUGAAGUGAGGAACCCACAAGAAAAUUAUGACAAAUACAAGAGAUACAACACAUUUCGAAGAAUCCUACGCUCCAUAUGCCCUAAAUCAGGAAAAGACAAUCAAUUGGCACCACUUGAUUUCAAUACUCCAGCUAGAUUUGACAACCAUUAUUUCCUUAACAUUCUUGAGGGAAGAGGCUUGUUGGGGUCUGAUAAUGUGUUGAUCACACAAGAUAAAGAAGGAGAGAUCAUAAGGCAAGUAUGGGCUUAUGCUUCCAAUCAACACCUCUUCUUUGAAUCCUUUGUCAAUUCCAUGAUAAAGAUGGGGAAUAUAAAUGUUCUAACUGGAACUCAAGGAGAGAUAAGGAAGAAUUGCAGGUUUGUUAAUGAGUAGGAGAUUGCCAUUAAGCUACUAAUUUGGUAGUUGAAUAUUUACUUUGUAUUGCAGGAGAUUAGAAAUUAAAAUUCCAGUAUACUCAAAUGCCUUGAAUAUUUGAUUUUGUGUAUGGUGCUGAUGUUCCUAUUUAGGCUUUCAAGCGGCUGGUGAAUUAGACUCUUUUUGCAGAAUUUUC
rnacentral:misc_RNA from 1 species